ACAAACAGGGCGGCGGUCUGCCGAAGGCCCAUCAUCCUCUGCUUCUCCUGGAUCAUGACAUCGCAGAUGCAAAUGAGCCCAGCUUGUGCCACAUUCUGCAGUAGGAGGUGCUAACCGGAUUGUUAACGCUGGUGCAGACGCAUAAGGAAGGCCUGUGUAUUUCUGUCUCUGUGACUGGAGGCCACAUCUGGGUAUAUAGCAUUAGUGAUGGGGACAAGACCAGCUGUAUCGAGUCCCAUUCACGACCCAGACCUUGAAGGAUGAAGUCCAAGUCAAGGCCAAACCUUUGGUGGUGGAGACAAGUCAAUACCAAAACUCCAAAAAAUCAAGCCCAUUUCUGAGACCAUUGCUUUAACUAUUAUUAUUUACGAUCAUCAUCACCCCUGCUAAUAAUUAAAAGUCAAAUUUUAAAUACGUAUGAUGCUUUAAUCUCUAACAUUAGUAUUUGAA